rnacentral:rRNA from 1 species
CGGCCGCAAGGUUAAAACUCAAAUGAAUUGACGGGGGCCCGCACCAGCGGUGGAGCAUGUGGUUUAAUUCGAUGCAACGCGAAGAACCUUACCUGGUCUUGACAUCCACAGAACUUUCCAGAGAUGGUUUGGUGCCUUCGGGAACUGUGAGACAGGUGCUGCAUGGCCGUCGUCAGCUCGUGUUGUGAAAUGUUGGGUUAAGUCCCGCAACGAGCGCAACCCUUAUCCUUUGUUGCCAGCGGUUAGGCCGGGAACUCAAAGGAGACUGCCAGUGAUAAACUGGAGGAAGGUGGGGAUGACGUCAAGUCAUCAUGGCCCUUACGACCAGGGCUACACACGUGCUACAAUGGCGCAUACAAAGAGAAGCGACCUCGCGAGAGCAAGCGGACCUCAUAAAAUGCGUCGUAGUCCGGAU